rnacentral:rRNA from 1 species
GAUGAACGCUGGCGGCGUGCCUAACACAUGCAAGUCGAACGGAGUUAUUAUUAUGAAGUUUUCGGAUGGAUUAAUAAUAACUUAGUGGCGGACGGGUGAGUAACGCGUGGGUAACCUGCCUCAUACAGGGGGAUAACAGUUGGAAACGGCUGCUAAAACCGCAUAACAUUGCGAUGUCGCAUGACAAUGCAAUUAAAUAUUUAUAGGUAUGAGAUGGGCCCGCGUCUGAUUAGCUAGCUGGUGGGGUAAUGGCCUACCAAGGCGACGAUCAGUAGCCGGAUUGAGAGAGUGACCGGCCACAUUGGGACUGAGACACGGCCCAAACUCCUACGGGAGGCAGCAGUGGGGAAUAUUGCACAAUGGGGGAAGCCCUGAUGCAGCGACGCCGCGUGAGUGAAGAAGUAUUUCGGUAUGUAAAGCUCUAUCAGCUGGGAAGAAAAUGACGGUACCUGACUAAGAAGCCCCGGCUAACUACGUGCCAGCAGCCGCAGUAA